rnacentral:lncRNA from 1 species
AGCUCUGUCUUUCCAUUAAGAAGAAGAUUAGAAUUGACCCAAUUUUAAGGAAAAUCGGGCCCGAAACCUACAUACAGUGCCCAAACAACACAUGCAGUGGCAAACCCACACACAAAGCCCAUCCAGUGUCAUUGUUGUCGAGCUCAACACAAGGUACGAGUAGCUCUGACUCCGCCAGACGGGCCACACAUGACCAAAAACACAUGAUAAUGCCUACACCUAAAAUCUGGCAUAGAAGGAGGAAGACCACGACGCUCCAUCAUUGCCAAGCCUCAACACACCCACACUAUAGGCAGCUCUGAUUCGUCACCAACGAUCUUGAUCCAACAACCACCUCCAGUUUUUUUGUCCGACCUCCAAAACAAUCAAGACCACGAGGAAAGGGGGUUCACCUCAUGUCAUCGUUGCCAAGCCACAUCCCCUAACGUGGUAGUUUCGACUUCACGUUGAAAAAAACCUAACCUUCGACUUCACGUUGCAAAAAACCACAUCCUCGAAACCACCUGCCGCCACUGUGGCCCUAGCACUCGUGGACAACAAAACCAGCACUCCAGUGCUCCACCCUACACAAGGAAAAGAGGUUAGGCCGGUGGACGACGCCAUGCCUACUCCAUGGCCUCCCAUCAUGAACUCCAGCCAUGCAAGAGCCAUGACGUGGAUCUGGCAGGGGGAGGCAAGGUGCUCCACCCAGCACAAAACGAAGAGGUCGGCCCGAUAGUGCAAGCGCUGCAUGCACCUUGGCCUCCACCGGAGGGAGGCUGGUCUGUCGCCGCCGUCGAGCCCGAGAGGCCGCCAUGGAGCUCGCUGGGGACCACCUCCCUGGGGGCACACCAGAUCUGGCCUUGGGCACGCCGGAUUCGGCCAUGGGCUCGCCGGAUAUACACGGUUGUACGCGCAUUUGGCCAUGGGCCCACAACGACGACAUAGUUGUACGCGGCAGCCACGCCACCGCCGUGAUUUUUGCGUGGCCAUUAGCACAACCACCAUCUCCCUGCAUGUGACCAACACGACCUCGAACUGACGACGACAACCACGGACACAGCAAAAUGUGGCCACCCUGACCACGAAUCUACUCACCUCGACCACAAAUCCAACCACAGCGGCAGCGACCCGAAGGAACGACAACCUCUUUCGACCUCUUCUCGUGCCACGUGCGUGCCUCCCGACCUCAGGAAGGAGAUAAAGCCUCGCCAACCGCACGACUCUCCGGUGAC